UACGGAGGGGGCUAGCGUUGUUCGGAGUUACUUGGCGUAAAGCGCACGUAGGCGGGUCGCUAAGUCGGGGGUGCAAUACUGGGGCUCAACCUCAGAACUGCCUUUGAUACUGGCGGCCUUGAGUACGGGAGAGGUGAGUGGAAUUCCCAGUGUAGAGGUGAAAUUCGUAGAUAUUGGGAAGAACACCAGUGGCGAAGGCGCCUCACUGGCCCGUAACUGACGCUGAGGUGCGAAAGCGUGGGGAGCAAAGAGG
rnacentral:rRNA from 1 species